UGGGGAAUAUUGCACAAUGGGCGAAAGCCUGAUGCAGCCAUGCCGCGUGUAUGAAGAAGGCCUUCGGGUUGUAAAGUACUUUCAGUCGGGAGGAAGGUGGUAAGGUUAAUAACCUUAUCAAUUGACGUUACCGACAGAAGAAGCACCGGCUAACUCCGUGCCAGCAGCCGCGGUAAUACGGAGGGUGCAAGCGUUAAUCGGAAUUACUGGGCGUAAAGCGCACGCAGGCGGUUGAUUGAGUCAGAUGUGAACUCCCCGGGCUUAACCCGGGAAUUGCAUCUGAUACUGGUCAGCUAGAGUCUUGUAGAGGGGGGUAGAAUUCCAGGUGUGGCGGUGAAAUGCGUAGAGAUGUGGAGGAAUACCGGUGGCGAAGGCGGCCCCCUGGACAAAGACUGACGCUCAGGUGCGAAAGCGUGGGGAGCAAACAGG
rnacentral:rRNA from 1 species